rnacentral:rRNA from 1 species
AACGAACGCUGGCGGCAGGCCUAACACAUGCAAGUCGAGCGAACCCUUCGGGGUUAGCGGCGGACGGGUGAGUAACGCGUGGGAAUAUGCCCUUUGCUACGGAAUAGCCCCGGGAAACUGGGAGUAAUACCGUAUACGCCCUUUGGGGGAAAGGAUUUAUCGGCAAAGGAUUAGCCCGCGUUGGAUUAGGUAGUUGGUGGGGUAAGUGGCCUACCAAGCCGACGAUCCAUAGCUGGUUUGAGAGGAUGAUCAGCCACACUGGGGACUGAGACACGGCCCAGACUCCUACGGGAGGCAGCAGUGGGGGAAUCUUAGACAAUGGGGGGCAACCCUGAUCUAGCCAUGCCGCGUGAGUGAUGAAGGCCCUAGGGUUGUAAAGCUCUUUUCAGCUGGGAAGGAUAAUGACGGUACCAGCAGAAGAAGCCCCGGCUAACUCCGUGCCAGCAGCCGCGGUAAGUACUGACUCA